UAAUACAGAGGGUGCAAGCGUUAAUCGGAAUUACUGGGCGUAAAGGGUGCGUAGGUGGUUGAAUAAGUUAGGUGUGAAAGUCCUGGGCUUAACCUGGGGAUUGCGCCUAAUACUGUUUAGCUAGAGUACUGUAGAGGAAGGUGGAAUUUCCAGUGUAGCGGUGAAAUGCGUAGAUAUUGGAAGGAACAUCAGUGGCGAAGGCGACUUUCUGGACAGAUACUGACACUGAGGCACGAAAGCGUGGGGAGCAAACAGGAUUAGAUACCCUGGUAGUCCACGCUGUAAACGAUGAGGACUGGCUGUUGGGUGCCGUGAGGCACUUAGUAGCGAAGCUAACGCGUUAAGUUCUCCGCCUGGGGAGUACGGCCGCAAGGUUA
rnacentral:rRNA from 1 species